UCCAGACUCCUACGGGAGGCAGCAGUGGGGAAUAUUGCACAAUGGGGGAAACCCUGAUGCAGCAACGCCGCGUGAGUGAGGAAGUAUUUCGGUAUGUAAAGCUCUAUCAGCAGGGAAUAGAAAAGAAGGUACCUGAAAAAGAAGCCCCGGCUAACUACGUGCCAGCAGCCGCGGUAAUACGUAGGGGGCAAGCGUUAUCCGGAUUUACUGGGUGUAAAGGGCUCGUAGGCGGUAUGUCAAGUCAAGGGUGAAAUCCCCGCGCUCAACGUGGGAACUGCCUUUGAAACUGGCAAACUGGAGUGUGUGAGAGGAUAGUGGAAUUCCAGGUGUAGGAGUGAAAUCCGUAGAUAUCUGGAGGAACAUCAGUGGCGAAGGCGACUAUCUGGCACAUAACUGACGCUGAGGAGCGAAAGCGUGGGUAGCAAACAGGAUUAGAUACCCGGGUAA
rnacentral:rRNA from 1 species